GUCGGCGUAGCUCAUCAGGAUAGAGCAACAGUUUCCUAAACUGUGGGUAGUGGGUUCGAGUCCCGCCGCUGACACCA
rnacentral:tRNA from 2 species